rnacentral:rRNA from 1 species
UUUGUUACUUCAAACCAAUCGGACUUCGGUCUGACAUCAAGUGAUAUUGAACAAUUUAGCUGAUCGCACGGUCUAAGAACCGGCGACAUAUCCUUCAAAUGUCUGCCUUAUCAACUUUCGAUGGUAGAUUAUGCGCCUACCAUGGUUGUAACGGGUAACGGAGAAUCAGGGUUUGAUUCCGGAGAGGGAGCCUGAGAAACGGCUACCACAUCCAAGGAAGGCAGCAGGCACGCAAAUUACCCACUCCCGGCACGGGGAGGUAGUGACGAAAAAUAACAAGCUGGUCUCAAUGAGUUCCAGCAUUGUAAUGGGAACAAUUUAAAUCUUUUAUCGAGGAUCUAUUGGAGGGCAAGUCUGGUGCCAGCAGCCGCGGUAAUUCCAGCUCCAAUAGCGUAUAUUAAAGUUGUUGCGGUUAAAAAGCUCGUAGUUGGAUCUAGGAUUAGGGCUACGGUCGUUCAGCUUGGACGUACUGUAUGCCCGACUCCUUUUCUCUAGUAUUCGAUUGUUGCUCUUAAAUGAGUGACUCUAGUUGCUGGAACUUUUACCUUGAAAAAAUUGAAGUGCUCAAAGCAGGUU